UACGUAGGGCGCAAGCGUUGUCCGGAUUUAUUGGGCGUAAAGAGCUCGUAGGCGGUCCGUCACGUCGGCUGUGAAAACCCGAGGCUCAACCUCGGGCCUGCAUUCGAUACGGGCGGACUAGAGUGCGGUAGGGGAGACUGGAAUUCCUGGUGUAGCGGUGAAAUGCGCAGAUAUCAGGAGGAACACCGGUGGCGAAGGCGGGUCUCUGGGCCGUAACUGACGCUGAGGAGCGAAAGCGUGGGGAGCGAACAGG
rnacentral:rRNA from 1 species